rnacentral:rRNA from 1 species
UUGAGGAAGAUAAUGACGGUACUCAACAAGGAAGUGACGGCUAACUACGUGCCAGCAGCCGCGGUAAAACGUAGGUCACAAGCGUUGUCCGGAAUUACUGGGUGUAAAGGGAGCGCAGGCGGGAAGACAAGUUGGAAGUGAAAUCCAUGGGCUCAACCCAUGAACUGCUUUCAAAACUGUUUUUCUUGAGUAGUGCAGAGGUAGGCGGAAUUCCCGGUGUAGCGGUGGAAUGCGUAGAUAUCGGGAGGAACACCAGUGGCGAAGGCGGCCUACUGGGCACCAACUGACGCUGAGGCUCGAAAGUGUGGGUAGCAAACAGGAUUAGAUACCCUGGUAGUCCACACUGUAAACGAUGAUUACUAGGUGUUGGAGGAUUGACCCCUUCAGUGCCGCAGUUAACACAAUAAGUAAUCCACCUGGGGAGUACGACCGCAAGGUUGAAACUCAAAGGAAUUGACGGGGGCCCGCACAAGCAGUGGAGUAUGUGGUUUAAUUCGACGCAACGCGAAGAACCUUACCAAGUCUUGACAUCCUGCGACGCACAUAGAAAUAUGUGUUUCCUUCGGGACGCAGAGACAGGUGGUGCAUGGUUGUCGUCAGCUCGUGUCGUGAGAUGUUGGGUUAAGUCCCGCAACGAGCGCAACCCUUAUGGUCAGUUACUACGCAAGAGGACUCUGGCCGGACU